rnacentral:rRNA from 1 species
UUAAAUCGACCGCCUGGGGAGUACGGCCGCAAGGUUAAAACUCAAAUGAAUUGACGGGGGCCCGCACAAGCGGUGGAGCAUGUGGUUUAAUUCGAUGCAACGCGAAGAACCUUACCUACUCUUGACAUCCAGCGAAUCCUGUAGAGAUACGGGAGUGCCUUCGGGAACGCUGAGACAGGUGCUGCAUGGCUGUCGUCAGCUCGUGUUGUGAAAUGUUGGGUUAAGUCCCGCAACGAGCGCAACCCUUAUCCUUUGUUGCCAGCGGUUCGGCCGGGAACUCAAAGGAGACUGCCAGUGAUAAACUGGAGGAAGGUGGGGAUGACGUCAAGUCAUCAUGGCCCUUACGAGUAGGGCUACACACGUGCUACAAUGGCGUAUACAAAGAGAAGCGAACUCGCGAGAGCAAGCGGACCUCAUAAAGUACGUCGUAGUCCGGAUUGGAGUCUGCAACUCGACUCCAUGAAGUCGGAAUCGCUAGUAAUCGUGGAUCAGAAUGCCACGGUGAAUACGUUCCCGGGCCUUGUACACACCGCCCGUCACACCAUGGGAGUGGGUUGCAAAAGAAGUAGGUAGCUUAACCUUCGGGAGGGCGCUUACCACUUUGUGAUUCAUGACUGGGGUGAAGUCGUAACAAGGUAACCGUAGGGGAACCUGC